AGUGAACGCUGGCGGUAUGCCUAACACAUGCAAGUCGAACGGCAGCACAGUAAGAGCUUGCUCUUACGGGUGGCGAGUGGCGGACGGGUGAGGAAUACAUCGGAAUCUACUUUUUCGUGGGGGAUAACGUAGGGAAACUUACGCUAAUACCGCAUACGAACUACGGGUGAAAGCAGGGCAUCUUCGGACCUUGCGCGACUGAAUGAGCCGAUGUCGGAUUAGCUAGUUGGCGGGGUAAAGGCCCACCAAGGCGACGAUCCGUAGCUGGUCUGAGAGGAUGAUCAGCCACACUGGAACUGAGACACGGUCCAGACUCCUACGGGAGGCAGCAGUGGGGAAUAUUGGACAAUGGGCGCAAGCCUGAUCCAGCCAUACCGCGUGGAUGAAGAAGGCCUUCGGGUUGUAAAGCCCUUUUGUUGGGAAAGAAAAGCAGCAGGUUAAUACCCCGCUGUUCUGACGGUACCCAAAGAAUAAGCACCGGCUAACUUCGUG
rnacentral:rRNA from 1 species